UUUGUCCCAUUUAUCAAUAACAACAACGAACCCUAGAAAUUCCUUCUUCCCUGUUCAUCAAUUACUUCUCAAAACUUAACUGCAAUCUUGAAUUCAAACUAAACCCAUGUCUUACAGACGCAUGAACUCUUAGAUUCAUUCUCAAUCUUCUCUGAUUCCACUCAAUAAUCCAUGGCAGUGACAUCAUCUUCAUAGACUUUCUUAUCUCUGAUUCCACUCAUUAAUCCAUCUUUGCUCAAAUCCAUCUAAACCAUCUACGAUUCAUCAGUAAAUACUGUGAUAUACCGAAGAAGAAGAAGAAGUGGGAUAUCCUUUAUAAUGACGGGAUUUGGAACAAAUUGCACAUAUCGCAAAUGGCCGUGAUUCCGGCAAUCGUGUCUCUCUUCUAUGUGUAAGGAUUGUAAAUUUUUUUUGGACACCUUCUUAGUGAUGUAUAGGCAUUAAGACUGAUUAGCAUUACACCUAUGGACGAACAAAGACAUAGGUUUGCUGUCCGUUUGCUGAAAUUCCUUCCUCACUCUCUCACUCAUUAGGAUGUGAUGCUAUUCUACUUUAGCGAGAACAGAGAUUUUGUGGUGCAUCCAAAGUCUCUCCAGGCUUCUUUAUGGGAAAAGCAAUUAAGGUCAUAAUGAACAAGAUACACAACAACAAUACUGAAAGAUUUUUCAGGAGAGUUAACCCAGUUGAAUACUCCAAGUUCUUUCUCACUUAAAUGAUAGAUAGUGGAUUUUCCGGGGUAUUAACGCCGGUCCACUUCUAUUCAAUGUGGCUUUUGUUGAUUAAUCCAUUUUCCUUGAGCGUUUCACACUGUUGGCCGGAAAACCACGUUUUCGUCCUGCGAAGAAUGCCCACCGUGUGCUUUUUAAGUGGAACACCAUGUGCAAGUUUGAGCAAUAAACUAUUCCACUUAAAGCUUGCUUUUUGAGGAGGGGAUGAGAUUUGGGUCAUGCAGGAAAUGGUUGCAGGCGCAAUGAGUGGCAUUACAAAUGGUGGGUGUGAUUUUAGGUGUUAUGUUUUUAAUUUUGUCAUGUAGUAUUCUCGGUCAACAAUCAAUAUCAAAAACUGAGAAUUGUAUGCACUAAUGUAAAUAUAUGGUCACAUUCGAAUCUUGGUGUGUUCCCUUUCGAACAUUUUAGAAAAUACCAGAUGGAGAAUGGAAAAAUAGUUAAUUCCGUAAGAAGGUUCAGAAAACUGUAUUUCCCUACAUGUAGGUUUAGUGGGAUUCUUUUGUAUCCACUAAAUUUGGUCUGAUUUCUAUAUUGUAUUUUUGAUGUAUAAACAACUGUAUUUCUUGAGCA